rnacentral:rRNA from 1 species
UGAGCAACCUACCGAAAUGUGGGGGAUAGCCGGCCUAACGGCCGAGUAAUACCGCAUACGCUCUCGAUGAGGCAUUUCAUUGAGAGGAAACCUACGGGACAUUUCGAGGGGCUCGCGGCCUAUCAGCUUGUUGGCGAGGUAACGGCUCACCAAGGCAACGACGGGUAGUUGGUCUGAGAGGAUGGCCAGCCACAUUGGGACUGAGAUACCGGCCCAGACCUCCGUACGGGAGGCAGCAGG